rnacentral:lncRNA from 1 species
CAAAAUUACUACUCGAUAUGGAAAACCCAGGGAAAAAAACUUGAUAAUUUAACUGAAUCUUCGAUCUGACGUUUAUUUUUUAAAAUCGAAAAAAGGAAUGAAAGAAAAGAAUUAAAAGAGAAAGGGCAAAAAUACAAAUUUGAGGUUUAAAAAGCAAAAACCCUUUGCAAAUAGGGUUUGGUGGAAAUAAGAUCUGUGCUGGAUUAUUUCAUUGUUAAUGAAAUAGGUUUUUUUUUCCUUGAAAUUCUUUUUUUCUCAAGUCAAUAUUAUUGAGACAAAUUUAAGAAAGGAACCCUAAAGAAGUGAUGACGAUGGGUAAUUAUUUAUUAUUAGGAUAUUCUUUUUUAUUUUAACUUUAUUAGUUUUUUUCUGGCUUUAAAUUUAUGCUGUUUUUUAGCUUAAAUGUUUUUGAAUAUUUAUUAUUAUAAGUUUAGGUUAAAUAAAUUUUAUUCAAUUUUAUUAAAUUUGGUUGAAUUUUAGUUUGUUAUAUAUAUAUAUAUUAAUAUGACCCAUAAAUAAAAAGAGAAUACGCUUAAAUAUACUUGGACUAAAGUUUUCCUACAUUAGCAAUAAUAUAAUUACAACUUAUCAAGUAAAUGUCUCAAAAAUAAUAAUAAAAUUAACAAUAAAAUAAUAAUUAUACAAUAUCCAAUCAUUAAUAAUAAAAUAAUUAGUAAUAUUAUAAUGAAAUGAUAGCAACAUGAGCAAAAAAGAAAGUUUAGGUUAUUCGAGUUAGGCCCGAACUAAAAAAUCUACUCGGAGCCUAAUCUAUUUAGAAAACGAGUCUUAUUUUUUGUCUAAGCCCAUUUCGUUAAACUUAUAUUUUUACUUAAAAUAUCUCAUAUUUUGGACAAACCCUCAAGCUCGAAUGAUUGCUUGAUCUAUGAUCAAGUCUAAUUAAGAUCGAUUAAGAGUAACAUCAACUCGAUCAAAAUUUGAAAUAAUGAAUUUUAUUUGAUGAAUUCAUUUUAUAUUUGAAUUUAGGCCUAAUCCAAAUACAAAAUUAAUUGGGCUAUGCAAUCGCCGUGCCCAAGUUUUAUAGUUCUCCACACGCCCACGUCUCUACAAAAAAACCAGCCUUUAAAGUCGGCAGGAUUUUACGGCAUUUAUUUGAGCCCUGUUCUUCUCCUUCUUCCUUGACUAGGGGUUUCCAUUUCCCAGUUCUUCUCGUCCCUUUCUUAAAGUCGGCAUCUUCCUUUGCUUUCUCCAGUUUUCUCCUACCCAGCACCUUCUUCAAGGUUCCAAGUUCUUUUUGUUUCUCCUUUAAUUGCUCUUGUAUUUAGGGAUUUAAAUUGCGGAUGCUGCCAUAUUUUUAGUUGGGUUGCGUUUGUGGUGGUCUGCUUGCGUUGCGUUUGUGGCGGUCGCAGAUAACGGAUGCUAUUGCGGUAUUGCGGUCACUGUAGGUACUGUAGUCGUGAAUUUUUAAAAAAUUCACACCAACUUAUUGCGGUUUCCGACUAUGUGGCUACCAUUAUAUAGUGGCCGAUAUAGCGGUAUCGGACCGCUAUUUAAAUUCCCGUGACUUGUAUUGAAUUCCAUGGAUGUCAAUUUAAUUUGGAUUUAAUUAUCCCUUUUGAGGUUGUUUUUGUUGUUGAGAAUCAUAAAAAAUAAUUGGGUCAUUUUUAUUUCAGUUUCUUUUGUGUUCUUUUAGCCUCUAUAGGGUUGUUAAUUAUUAAUCCCUACAUGUUCAUUUGUUUUUUGGUUAGAAAUGAGAUAAUUUUGAUGGGGUUUCAUUGUUUUAAACGUUGAAAUUUUAUCUAAUAAUGCAAUCUUUCAUAUAUUUUUCAGGGUUUGUUCUUAUUUGAAUAGCCUUUGUUGUAGCUAUUUGCAAAAUGCUGGCUCCUAGUGUUACUGCUCCCUUGCGGCCUUCAUUAUCUACCGGUAUUUUUCUUGGAACUUUAUUUUAUUAUUCAUUCAAUUUUUCUUAGAUUAAUGAUGAUAAAAUUUGCUAUUGGUUUUCGGCAGGACAUCGAUUAGAGUCACGAAUUGAAUGCAGUAGCCGUUGUGGCUCAGUCAGAAUUCCGAAUCGGAUUAAGCCAAGGGAACUUGGCUUGCAAUCACAACCUAGGGUAGGAAGAAGUAGAAAACAAUCUUCAUCCAUUGCAUGCACCGCAACUGCUUUGGUACGUUUUGUCGCCAUAACUAAUCGCUUACUUUUAUUUUUACAGAAGAAAUUGAGAAUUGUUGCUCAUCUUUUUGUCAAUAUUAAACGGUAUUAAAUCCUGAUAUUAGAUUUAGUGAAACAAAUCAUUACAUGUGUGCACGUAUGUUAUGGCUCUGUGUGCACUUUGUGCAUGCUUAUACUCGAUUUUUAAUGAUAUUGGAAUUCAGAGUUUCUGAUUCUGGUUUCCUUUUUUCCAGCAGAACGCAACUUGCAGUGCAUCAGGACAAACUCAAACUGUUACUCGUGAGGCACCAACGAUCACCCAAGCUCCUGUUCAUUGUAAGAACAAACACAUACUCUCUUUUCAGCAGUUUGUCAAUAUUCAUUAGAUGUAUUCCUUUUCGUGAUUUUCUAGUUCGACUUUAGGCACCCUAACUUAGGUUUGAUUUGUGGGUAGGAAGGUCACGGUGGGUUAAACUGAUUUUGCCAGAAUGACUGAUAGGUCAUGUAUCAUCUCAUACUAGUUUUGGAAACUUAAGUCUCACCAUGUCGAUGCUUGCACUUUCGUGCUCCAUCUUUAGUAGGGAUGACCAAUGUUUGAUUUCGGUACAUUAGAAUCCAGAUGCUGCUUGUUGGCUAGAAGCAUUGACAAUGUCCCUUUUUUGGUUUCUAGUUUCUCUACUGCCCCUCUUUAGCGAAAAUCUUAUUCGUGUGAUAAACGUAUCACUAUGAGCUCUUAGCAAUUCUUUUGUUACUUUUUUCCGUAGUUUCGAUGUACUAUUGUCCUGGUGAUGAACACCUAAGCCUUCAGGUGACAGGGAUAGAUCCCUGGCCCUAAGGAACUUCCUUUCCUAUGGUGGGAUAUAUCAUAUAUCCAACUGGCUUGAAUACCAUAUAAUUUUAAAGAAAGCGUAGCUAACAUCAUGUAUUGAAAUGCAGCAAAGGAGAAGUCACCGCAGCUAGAUGAUGGUGAUUCAGGAUUUCCUCCCCGUGACGAUGAUGGUGGUGGAGGUGGCGGGGGAGGUGGUGGGGGCAACUGGUCAGGUGGAUUCUUCCUUUUCGGAUUCCUCGCGUUUCUAGGCUUCUUAAAGGAUAAAGAAAGCGAAGAAGAUUACCGGGACAGCCGAAGAAGAUGAUGAGAUUCUCUACAUAUUGAUAACAUUUUUAGAACCUAUAUUGCAUGUUGUUCUUCAUGUUAUAUACUUUUGAGAACCCAUUGCAUAUCUUUCUUCAUGAUAUAUUUCUAUUUUUGGAACCAAUUGCAUAUUUGAACUAUUUGUAGACAUCAUUCAAACAUGCAAAUAUAUUUAGUUAAAAAUGGACUAAAUUAAAUAUCAUCUAUACUUAUUAUAAAGUCCAUGUUGCUAUUCUCGUGACAUCAACUCAAUCAGUAUAGAUAUAGAUAAACAAAAGAUGUCACCAAUUUUAAGGGUAGGUUUGAAUGGGCGGUGAGGUGCGUUUAACUUAUUUUGUGUCUCAUACUAUAGUGUCUAAUCAUAUUGUCACUGUUGUUUUUACACUAAUUAUAUGUAAUUGUAUCAUUUAUCUAAACUCACCCUAAAUUUGUUGUCAUUGGUUUAGGAUUUGAAGGUUAGAAUCAACCUCACGCAUCUCUUUCUAAGCCUUUAAAACUGGUGCGACUUGUGAAGAAUUCAUCAAAGUGUAACAUUUUCAACCAAAAUAUCAAAAUCUUUUCUACUUAAUUUAUAUCAGUUUUAGAAUUGGAUUGAUAGUUGAAUCGAUCAGGUCAUUAAUUUGUUAGUUUAAUUAAUAUUAUCGGUUUAAUUAAAAAUUUUAAAAAGUAAAAAAAUUUGGUUCAAUCAAUUUAUUUGUUUAUUCAACUAGUCCAUAACAGUCCGUGAUUUAACUGAUUUGAUAUCUCAAUCACUUCUCCGUUUAGCUUGUCCAAUCCAACAUAGCAUUGAUUUACAUCUAUAUAUAUAUCAUAUAUUUUCACACACAUACACACAUAAAUUUAUACAAUAACCAUGUAUGCAUGUUCAUAUUAAUACUUGAAAUUUUUAGAACAUUUUUAAUUCUAAUCACAAUAAAACUUCAAAAAACCAAUGCAUUGCACAAAUUAAUUGGGCGUAUUUUUAAAAUAUGUUUAUUUUUAUUAAACUUUUUCGUACAAAUUUUUCAACGUUUUAUAAAUAAAAUGAUUUUGAAAAGUGAAAAAAGAACUUAAUGAGAAGUUUAUUUUUAAUUAAAGUAAUUUAUUUUGUAAACAUUUGAUACAUAAACAUGUCCAUGAACCGAUCCAAAGUCUGAAUUUAAAAUUUUCCAUAUUUGGGCUUGGGCUUAGCUCAGCAUAAACUAUUCAAAUAACUCAUAUCGUUAUUUUAAAAAGUGAUAAGUCUCAAAUUUGUACAUACACUUUGAUUUUAUGAAAUUUUGAUAUGAUUCAAUUCUCGCAAAUUACUAACAUAAUUAUUAGUAUAACAUCAUUUCAUAUUUUUAUACUACGUAUAUAAAUAAUUAUAUUUAUCCAAUAUAAAAAUAAUUGAUAUAUCUAUUUCUUUAAAUGUGUAUGAUUGAAUGAAAAAUUAAAGUUUCAUAUAUGCAUUUGAACUACAGUUAAAGUUUUAUGUAUAUAAUUGCAUCCAAUCAAAGUUAAUAUAUUAAAAUGCACAUUAAAUCAAAGUUAUAUAUAAUUUUGAUAUUUAUUCCUUUUAAAGAACAAUAAAGUAUUAAAAAUAUUAAUUUAUAGUAAUAUUUUUAUAUUUUACAAUAAAUUUCAAACAAAAAUAUUUGAAAAUUUAUCUAAUUUAGGCCCAAGGGCAACACAAGUCUUUGCCCAAGCCCAACCCAGGGUAAAAAGUUUAUUUAAUUUUGUCAUCCAUUAUUUUGGAAGAAAAUAUUUCAUGUCUAUUAGUUGAAAUAUUUAAAUUUAUUAAAUUUAAUUUUAAAAUUUAUACCUUAAUUUUUUUAGCAUAUUUUAAUUUUAUCAUUAUAUUAGUAUAAAAAAUUCUAAUCAAGUAAAAAGAUUUGAAAAAAAAAAUCAAAUAAAAGUUAAAACGUUUUUAAUUUAUUAACAAUAUCUUAAGAUUUUAAACAUAUUUUUAAGAAAGUCAAUAUUAUUGAGACAAAUUUAAGAAAGGAACCCUAAAGAAGUGAUGACGAUGGGUAAUUAUGUAUUAUUAGGAUAUUCUUUUUUAUUUUAACUUUAUUAGUUUUUUUCUGGCUUUAAAUUUAUGCUGUUUUUUUUGGUUAAAUAUUUUUGAAUAUUUAUUAUUAUAAGUUUAGGUUAAAUAAAUUUUAUUCAAUUUUAUUAAAUUUGGUUGAAUUUUAGUUUGUUAUAUAUAUAUAUAUUAAUAUAACACAUAAAUAAGAAAAUAAUAUAGUUGUACAAUACAAUUUUCUUUAAGAGUGCACAAGAGUUACCUCUCAUUGUGAAGACCAAGAUACAAAGAGACAAAUAAUUAAGCUCAGAAAACAGCCCAAAUCAAGAUGGAUACACUGUAACUAACAAAUAGAGAUAACAAGGUUUACAAUGUCAUGCAUGGAUAAAUAAAUAUAUACUAUGAGCUCCCACAGGGUUUUUUCUCCAUAAAUAGAAUAGCAUGCCAACCACUAAUUAAAUGUAGUGGCAUCCCUCUGUUCAGGAAAAAUAGAGGGAAAAAAAAAACACAGAAUCACUCCAAAAGGAUUAUAUUUCAGCAUGAUUUCCAAAGGGAACGAUUUUCUUUUCAAACAACUAAUCAUUGCUUUUGUCCUGCAUUGCAUAAAUUUGCAAUAAUAAUUGAAACAGGAAAGAGAACUUAAAAGAACAAGAAUAUUAACCUCAUCUCUAUCAAACAAAAACUCCUCCUCAUCCUCAAGUCCGACUGCAGGUAUAUCCUCCUCGUCAUCUAAUCCCCCCAAUUCGACCUCCUCAAGAACAUCUUUUCCAAAAAAUGCAUACUGUGACGCAUCAAAUACUGCAUCUCCUGCAUCAUAGAAAAAGUCAAGUUUACUAAACAUGCACACUUCAACCAGAAAUGAACUCACAACAUAAAGAUGAGAUAGAUGGAGACAUGAAAAUCAACUCAAACAAACAUUAAUACAUCUUUUUCACCAGAAAACAAAGGAUAAACACAAUCAUGGGAGGAAAAAAGGUUAUUUUUUACUUUCCCUUAAAACCAAACAGCAAGCAAACAACAAUCUAAUCCACUAUGCGCCACCACAAAAGCCACUUAUACUGUAUGCCUAGAACUUGAGAGUUCACCCCCUUGGAAAUGAAAAAGGGAUAGGAUAAUUGAGAUGGGGGCAAAUUACAACCCUUUAUGCAGCCAAAGGUCAAGUAGAUCUCCAUAUGCACCAAAAGCAUUAUUGACUUCAACAUUUAAAUUCGAUACAGCCUAAUUUUUUUAGCUUAAACCAAACUAAUAAACAAAACCCAUAGUUGCUUAUAUCCCAUUAAAAGCAUAAAUUGAGUAAAUUAAAGGGAAAAAAAAAGUCGAAUAUCAAACCUGUAGAAGUAUCGCCAAAUCGCUUAAGAUUCUUAGAAGCAUCCAUUUUAUCAACAAUUCAAAAUUACUACUCGAUAUGGAAAACCCAGGGAAAAAAAACUUGAUAAUUUAACUGAAUCUUCGAUCUGACGUUUAUUUUUUAAAAUCGAAAAAAGGAAUGAAAGAAAGGAAUUAAAAGAGAAAGGGCAAAAAUACAAAUUUGAGGUUUAAAAAGCAAAAACCCUUUGCAAAUAGGGUUUGGUGGAAAUAAGAUCUGUGCUGGAUUAUUUCAUUGUUAAUGAAAUAGGUUUUUUUUUUCCUUGAAAUUCU